UCGCUUCAGCAGCACAUAUACUAAAAUUGGAAUGAUACAGAAAACAUUAGCAUGGCCCCUGCACAAGGAUGACACAUAAAUUCGUGAAGCAUUCCAUAUUUGG
rnacentral:snRNA from 1 species